UACGUAGGGUGCGAGCGUUAAUCGGAAUUACUGGGUUUAAAGGGUCCGUAGGCGGCCUUAUAAGUCAGUGGUGAAAUCCCAUCGCUCAACGAUGGAACUGCCAUUGAUACUGUAGGGCUUGAAUUAUUGUGAAGUAACUAGAAUAUGUAGUGUAGCGGUGAAAUGCUUAGAUAUUACAUGGAAUACCAAUUGCGAAGGCAGGUUACUAACAAUUGAUUGACGCUGAUGGACGAAAGCGUGGGGAGCGAACAGG
rnacentral:rRNA from 1 species